GAUGAACGCUGGCGGUAUGCUUAACACAUGCAAGUCGAACGCGAAAAGUCCUUCGGGAUGAGUAGAGUGGCGGACGGGUGAGUAACGCGUAGGAAUCUGUCCUGUAGUGGGGGAGUAACGUUUCGAAAGGAACGCUAAUACCGCAUACGCCCCAAGGGGGAAAGGCGGGGGAGUCUUCGGACCUCGUGCUAUAGGAGGAGCCUGCGUCGGAUUAGCUAGUUGGUGAGGUAAAGGCUCACCAAGGCGACGAUCCGUAGCUGGUCUGAGAGGAUGAUCAGCCACACCGGAACUGAGACACGGUCCGGACUCCUACGGGAGGCAG
rnacentral:rRNA from 1 species